rnacentral:rRNA from 1 species
AUUGGAGGGCAAGUCUGGUGCCAGCAGCCGCGGUAAUUCCAGCUCCAAUAGCGUAUAUUAAAAUUGUUGCAGUUAAAAAGCUCGUAGUUGAAUUUCUGCUGCAUUUCAUUUCUCUUUCUGAGUUUGUUUUUGCGGCUUAUUUCGGUUUGAUUUUUUCUUUCCGGAUGAUUACUUUGAGAAAAUUAGAGUGCUCAAAGCAGGCUUUUGCCUUGAAUAGUUUAGCAUGGAAUAAUAAAGUAGGACUUUGGUUCUAUUUUGUUGGUUUUAGGUACCAAAGUAAUGGUUAAUAGGAACAGUUGGGGGCAUUCGUAUUUAACUGUCAGAGGUGAAAUUCUUAGAUUUGUUAAAGACGAACUACUGCGAAAGCAUUUGCCAAGGAUGUUUUCAUUAAUCAAGAACGAAAGUUAGGGGAUCGAAGACGAUCAGAUACCGUCGUAGUCCU